UUAUGAAUAAGGAUCGGCUAACUCCGUGCCAGCAGCCGCGGUAAUACGGAGGAUCCGAGCGUUAUCCGGAUUUAUUGGGUUUAAAGGGAGCGUAGAUGGAUGUUUAAGUCAGUUGUGAAAGUUUGCGGCUCAACCGUAAAAUUGCAGUUGAUACUGGAUGUCUUGAGUGCAGUUGAGGCAGGCGGAAUUCGUGGUGUAGCGGUGAAAUGCUUAGAUAUCACGAAGAACUCCGAUUGCGAAGGCAGCCUGCUAAGCUGCAACUGACAUUGAGGCUCGAAAGUGUGGGUAUCAAACAGGAUUAGAUACCCUGGUAGUCCACACGGUAAACGAUGAAUACUCGCUGUUUGCGAUAUACGGCAAGCGGCCAAGCGAAAGCGUUAAGUAUUCCACCUGGGGAGUACGCCGGCAACGGUGAAACUCAAAGGAAUUGACGGGGGCCCGCACAAGCGGAGGAACAUGUGGUUUAAUUCGAUGAUACGCGAGGAACCUUACCCGGGCUUAAAUUGCACUCGAAUGAUCCGGAAACGGUUCAGCUAGCAAUAGCGAGUGUGAAGGUGCUGCAUGGUUGUCGUCAGCUCGUGCCGUGAGGUGUCGGCUUAAGUGCCAUAACGAGCGCAACCCUUGUUGUCAGUUACUAACAGGUGAUGCUGAGGACUCUGACAAGACUGCCAUCGUAAGAUGUGAGGAAGGUGGGGAUGACGUCAAAUCAGCACGGCCCUUACGUCCGGGGCUACACACGUGUUACAAUGGGGGGUACAGAGGGCCGCUACCACGCGAGUGGAUGCCAAUCCCUAAAACCCCUCUCAGUUCGGACUGGAGUCUGCAACCCGACUCCACGAAGCUGGAUUCGCUAGUAAUCGCGCAUCAGCCACGGCGCGGUGAAUACGUUCCCGGGCCUUGUACACACCGCCCGUCAAGCCAUGGGAGCCGGGGGUACCUGAAGUACGUAACCGCAAGGAGCGUCCUAGGGUAAAACUGGUAAUUGGGGCUAAGUCGUAACAAGGUAGCCGUACCGGAAGGUGCGGCUG
rnacentral:rRNA from 1 species